UGUUUAAAUUCGAGGGAGACAUUGACCAAGGUGUGGAAUACUACAAGAAGGCUCUGUAUUAUAAUUGGCACUAUGCUGAUGCCAUGUAUAAUCUAGGCGUUGCAUAUGGGGAAAUGCUGAAGUUUGACAUGGCAAUUGUGUUUUAUGAACUUGCUUUCCACUUCAAUCCUCAUUGUGCAGAGGCAUGCAACAAUUUAGGAGUGAUAUACAAAGACCGUGACAACCUUGAUAGAGCUGUGGAGUGUUAUCUGGCAAAAUUAUGAUGCUUAUGUGCAAAUUUUAAGUCUCAAAUCAUCGUGCGCUUGAUAUUAUAAAAAUUAUUUAUUCUUCUGCAGUUGGCUUUAUCCAUCAAACCAAAUUUCUCAUAGUCCUUGAACAAUCUUGGUGUCGUCUACACUGUCCAGGGUAAAAUGGAUGUUGCUGCAAGCAUGAUUGAGAAAGCUAUUGUUGCAAACCCUACAUAUGCGGAAGCAUGUAAUAACUUAGGUCUCUUUGUUUCUCUCUCUCUCACCCUGUGGUCAUCAUGUUUUUGGCAUGCUGUUACUUC